AUUGAACGCUGGCGGCAGGCCUAACACAUGCAAGUCGAGCGGAUGAAGGGAGCUUGCCCCUGGAUUCAGCGGCGGACGGGUGAGUAAUGCCUAGGAAUCUGCAUGGUAGUGGGGGAUAACGUCCGGAAACGGGCGCUAAUACCGCAUACGUACUGAGGGAGAAAGUGGGGGAUCUUCGGACCUCACGCUAUCAGAUGAGCCUAGGUCGGAUUAGCUAGUUGGUGGGGUAAAGGCCUACCAAGGCGACGAUCCGAAACUGGUCUGAGAGGAUGAUCAGUCACCCUGGAUCUGAGACUCGUUCCAGACUCCUACGGGAGGCAGCAGUGGGGAAUAUUGCACGAAGGGCGAAUGCCUGAUCCAGCCAUGCCGCGUGUAUGAAGAAGGUCUUCGGAUUGUUGAGCACUUUAAGUUUUGAGGAAGUGCAGUACGUUAAUACCUUGCUGUUUUGACGUCACCAACAGAAUAAGCACCGGCUAACUUCGUG
rnacentral:rRNA from 1 species